rnacentral:rRNA from 1 species
UACGUAGGGUGCAAGGCGUUGUCCGGAAUUAUUGGGCGUAAAGGCGCGUAGGCGGCCAUUCAAGUGACGGGUGAAACGCCCUCGGCUUAACCGAGGAACUGACCUGUCAGACUGGAUGGCUUGAGACCGGGAGAGGUGAGUGGAAUUCCCAGUGUAGCGGUGAAAUGCGUAGAUAUUGGGAGGAACACCAGUGGCGAAGGGCGGACUCACUGGACCGGAACUGACGCUGACGGCGCGAAAGCGUGGGAGCAACAGGGAUAAGAU